rnacentral:ncRNA from 1 species
GAUUGUUGUUGCUUGUGUUUUCUUGAUGUUGUUGUUUGUUCUUUGUUGUUGUUUGUUGCUAGUACCGGUGAUGUUGGUGGUGAUGUGAGUGUUGUUGCAGUGCUCGGCGGGUCCGACUCAUGGCUCGCGCCUUAAGCCAUGGGUGCAACCCCGCGCCCACGGCCAGAUAUCCCGUUUUCGGGGGUGGGCCAUAAUUACUAUGAGUAAAUCAGAGUGUUCAAAUCAGGCAAGCGCUUAAAUCUUUCAGCAUGGAAUAAUAAAAUAGGACGAUGAUUCCAUUUGGUUGGUUUCAAGGACCAUCGUAAUGAUUAUUAGGGACGUUCGGGGGCGUUAGUAUUCAGUUGUAAGAGGUGAAAGUCUUGAAUGUUCUGAAGACCAACUACUGCGAAAGCAUUCGUCAAGGACGUUCUUACAACAUGAUC